rnacentral:misc_RNA from 1 species
AAGUCGUAACAAGGUUUCCGUAGGUGAACCUGCGGAAGGAUCAUUAACACGUAUCCAAACGUUAAACCCCCCUGUGAACCUUCACCUGUACUCGUACGUCCGUUAGAAAAAGGCAAUCCCUGGUAAAUCAUCGCCGAACAGUUUUCGAUUCAGGGAUGUCUGCAAGGAGCGUGCAUGUUGUGCGAGCAAGUGGCCUGGCAUCCCCAAGCAGUUAGUGUCUGAAAGUGUCAUUAACUGUGUAAGGAUGACGCAGUCACGAUCGUUGGAGGCCCACACGGCCGACGACCGGGUCACUGGGCGCAAGCCCCCCUAUAACAAACGCUGCUAAUCGCGGCCGCGAUAAUACGCAGUCGACCAAAAACCGAACAACUGUUAACAAUGGAUAUCUUGGUUCUC